UACGUAGGGGACAAGCGUUGUCCGGAAUCAUUGGGCGUAAAGAGCUCGUAGGCGGCUUGGCAAGUCGGAUGUGAAAACUCCAGGCUCAACCUGGAGCCGCCAUUCGAUACUGCUAUGGCUAGAGUCCGGUAGGGGAGUGUGGAAUUCCCGGUGUAGCGGUGAAAUGCGCAGAUAUCGGGAGGAACACCGGUGGCGAAGGCGGUCUGCUGGGCAGUUUCUGACACUGAGGCGCGACAGCGUGGGAGCAA
rnacentral:rRNA from 1 species